GUGCUCGUUCCAGCAGCACAUGUACUACACUGGGACGACACAGAGAAGAUUAGCAUGGGCCCUGGACAAGGGUGACCCGAGCUUUUGUAAAGCGCUCCAUAUUGUU